GGUGGAAUGGCUGAGUGGCUUAGGCAACGGUCUGCAAAACCGUCUACACGGGUUCGAUUCCCGUUUCCACCUCAA
rnacentral:tRNA from 1 species